rnacentral:rRNA from 1 species
AACGCUGGCGGCAGGCUUAACACAUGCAAGUCGAGCGCCCCGCAAGGGGAGCGGCAGACGGGUGAGUAACGCGUGGGAAUCUACCCAACCCUACGGAAUAGCUCCGGGAAACUGGAAUUAAUACCGUAUACGCCCUAUGGGGGAAAGAUUUAUCGGGGAUGGAUGAGCCCGCGUUGGAUUAGCUAGUUGGUGGGGUAAAGGCCUACCAAGGCGACGAUCCAUAGCUGGUCUGAGAGGAUGAUCAGCCACAUUGGGACUGAGACACGGCCCAAACUCCUACGGGAGGCAGCAGUGGGGAAUAUUGGACAAUGGGCGCAAGCCUGAUCCAGCCAUGCCGCGUGAGUGAUGAAGGCCCUAGGGUUGUAAAGCUCUUUCACCGGUGAAGAUAAUGACGGUAACCGGAGAAGAAGCCCCGGCUAACUUCGUGCCAGCAGCCGCGGUAAUACGAAGGGGGCUAGCGUUGUUCGGAAUUACUGGGCGUAAAGCGCACGUAGGCGGAUAUUUAAGUCAGGGGUGAAAUCCCAGAGCUCAACUCUGGAACUGCCUUUGAUACUGGGUAUCUUGAGUAUGGAAGAGGUAAGUGGAAUUCCGAGUGUAGAGGUGAAAUUCGUAGAUAUUCG